AUCGCCUCAGUCUGCGCAUGCGCACGGAGUAUAAAAGGCGGGUUCGCAUGUUCUUUCUUCCCAGUUCCUUCUUUCUUAGCCAGGUAUGUGGGCUGUUGGACCAUGGAGUUGUGCUGUAGUGCUUACUCAGACUCUGACCGACACUGUUGACCCUUUCUAACAAAUAAGCCAAAUGCUCUGAGCAACCAUGUAGCUGCCACAAUCUGGUAAUUGUGGUUUUUAAGGUCACUCACUGACCUACUACUACUACUAUUCCAACAGAUCAUACUGGAGCCGAAUGGAUGACCUCAAAUUCAUCAGACUUUGUUUCAUAAGUCAUUCACACCUUUUAAAACAGGAAGAAUUCUGGAGGACCAGAGGGACAUCACAUGAUGAGUGACCUUUGAAUGGACACAUGUGAAGGCAUUUGAGAGACCUUCAUUUUGAAGACUCUGCACUGUCCAUGUGGAGAAGUUGAAGUACAUAAUGGCCCUUCAGUCCAGUGUUUACCAGUUAUGGGGGG